AAAGCUACACGUUUGCAUUAUGUUAUAUAUACAAUAAUAAUAAAGGACGUUACCGUAUACAUUCUUACAAAACCAAGGACGAUAUAGACCUUUGAGAAGGGGUGCGUAUAAUACACAAAGUUUAAGUUUUUUCAGAGGUACAGCCCCCUAAAAAUCCCUUGUCUCUUAUACUCAAGGGCGGACUAUACUCGAGGAUUUAAGUUAUGGAAUAUAGUUUAUAUUUCUAACAGU